CUAAAAGAUUCACCAGCCGUACCUCUCGAAUCGUCAAUGAGUUGUAUUCCCUUACAAAGGCAGCAAGCUUACAGUUACAGCGCAAUAUCGAAACAUGUGGACGAGUUGAUCCAUGUUAUCCCAACCCAUGCUAUGCUGGCGAGUGUGUGUCUCAGCGAGGAGGAGGUUUCAGAUGUAAUUGCCCGGAUGGAUUUGUUGGUAAAUUGUGCGAUGUCGAUUUCUGCAAUCCUAAUCCAUGUGCAGAUGACAUGGCUUGUAGGCGGAUAGAAGGGGGUUUCUCAUGUGAUUGUCAAGAUGGAUUUGUUGGAAUAACUUGUGAAGUCAACCUUUGUAAUCUGUGUAUGAAUGGUGCCACGUGUAUGCCUUCUCCUGGUAACUUUGCCUGUGCAUGUGCUGAUGGAUUUGUUGGAAGAGUAUGCAGCUUUCAUCUCUGUGAUCUCUCGCCUUGUUUAAAUGGUGGUAUUUGUAAACCAGCACCCGGUGACUUUACCUGCAAAUGUCCAUCAACUUAUACCGGAAGGUUUUGCCAAGACAGCACUGGCACUGGUGUCAUCAUUGACUAAAUGGAAUGGUGGUCAUCGCUAUUUUGGUUACUAAUUUGGAGAAAUCACUUCGCUAUUGCGACC